rnacentral:rRNA from 1 species
CCUACGGGAGGCAGCAGUGGUGAAUUUUGGACAAUGCGGGAAACCCUGAUCCAGCCAUCCAGCGUGUAUGAUGAUGGCCUUCGGGUUGUAAAGUACUUUUGGCAGAGAAGAAAAGGUAUCUCCUAGUACGAGAUACUGCUGACGGUAUCUGCAGAAUAAGCACCGGCUAACUACGUGCCAGCAGCCGCGGUAAUAA